GAUGAAGAACGCAGCGAAAUGCGAUAAGUAAUGUGAAUUGCAGAAUUCAGUGAGUCAUCGAAUCUUUGAACGCACAUUGCGCCCUGUGGUAUUCCGCAGGGCAUGCCUGUUCGAGCGUCAUUUCAACCCUCAAGCUCUGCUUGGUGUUGGGCCCUGCCCGCUGCGGCCGGCCCUAAAGACAGUGGCGGUGCCGCCUGGCCCUGAGCGUAGUACAUCUCUCGCUCCAGUGCCCGGUGGUAGCCUGCCAGAACCCCAACUCUCGUGGUUGACCUCGGAUCAGGUAGGGAUACCCGCUGAACUUAAGCAUAUCAAUAGCGGAGGA
rnacentral:misc_RNA from 1 species